AACGUAGGUGGCAAGCGUUAUCCGGAAUUACUGGGCGUAAAGGGUGUGCAGGCGGGGGAUACAAGUGGUGUAUGAAAUCUCCCAGCUUAACUGGGAGCGGUUAUGCCAGACUGUAUUUCUAGAGGACGAGAGAGGGGGGGUGGAAUUCCGGGGUGUAGUGGUGGAAAAUGCGCAGAUAUCGGGGAAGAACACCCCGUGGGCGAAAGGCGGGCUCUCUGGGACGGGUACUGACGCUGAGACGCGAAAGCGUGGGGAGCGAACAGGG
rnacentral:rRNA from 1 species